AAGAUUUUAAUAAUUUCUUCAAAGAAGGUAUAUGGGUGGCCAGUAAGCACUUGGAAAGAUGUUCAGCGUUAUUAGCAACUAGGGCAAUGACAUCACAACCACGAUGAGAAACCACAACCACUGAGAUGGCUAUGAUUUUAACAAACAGACAAUAACAAGCAUUAGCAAGGAUGUGGAGAAGUUUGAAUUCUUAUACAUUGCUACUAGGGAUGAAAAAUGAUGCAGCCCCUUUGGAAAACAGUCUGUCUGUCUGACAGUUCCUCAAAUAAUUAAACAUUGACUUGUAUGACCCAGCAAUUACAUUCCUAGAUAUAUACCCAAGGAAUUGAAAACGUAUAUUCACAUAUAAACUUGUACAUGAAUAUUCACGGCAGCAUUAUUCCUAAUAGCCAAAAAGUGGAAACAACGCAAUGUCCACUAACUUAAUGGAUAAACAAAUGUGGUAUAUCUAUACAAUGAAAUACUAUUCAACCAUAAGAAGGGAGAACUUAUACAUAAUACACAAGGAUAAACCUUGAAAACAUUACACUAAGUGGAAGAAGGCAGGAACGAAAGGCCACAUAUUGUAUGAUUCCAAUUAUAUAAAAUGUUCAGAAUGGGCAAAUCCGUAGAGAUAGGAAGUGUAUUAGUAGUUGCCAUGGGAUGGGGGGAGGGAGAAUGGACAUGACUGCUCGUGGGUACAGGGUUUCUUUUGGGGGUGAGGGCACUGAGCCGGCCGCCUGUGGGUCAGCACUGGCCCAGGUGGGUUUCCCUCAGCAGGGCUGUGGGCAGGCCCUCCUCUCGAGAGGCCAUGGUGGGCACUGGGGCGGACAGGCUGCCGGCAGGCCGUGGCUUUACCUUCUCUAAGAACAGGACUUUUUAAGCCCAUCGUUGUCUCUCACUCCCUCUGCGCAGAAGACCACAGAAAGGCGCAGCUGCACCCCCAUGAGAAACCACACGGACAGCCGCUUCCCCCAGGCCUCAUUCCACCAGAAAUACACUGGGUGUCUGCCCCUGUGUUAUGGUCAAGAUCGCCAUCUGCUUCCUGAGUUUCAGGAUCACAGCUGACAGAAGCGUAUCACAACCCCGUCCUGCAGCUGCUCUGAACCAGGAACCACAGAGGUCCAGACGUGGUAGCUGGGCUCGGCAGGGAUCUGAGCCUUGGGGGAGCCGUCUCACUUGGCCUAACUCUGAGGGAAGAAAGACAAAGUCUUCUAGGGACCAGCACCAUACCGAGGGCUGGUCAGGGAAGAAGGUUACAAGUGUGUGCGUGUAUAAUUGAGACAAUAGUAAACAAACGGUUUUCCAUCUUGACUCUCUCACUACAGAGCAUCAAGACUACAAAGAUACCUUCAGAAAUAUCACUUGUAUUAUAUGCUGGAUUAUAUUUAAGAGGACACCACAGUUUAUCCUCUGUUAUUGGGCAUUUGAAUUGUUCCCAACAUUUUGUAAUAAAAAAACUGUGUUGACCAUCUGCGUACAGGGUGCUCAAAACACGUCCUGAAUGAGCAUUGUACACAAAUCUUUGAUUGGAACUCUGAUUAUUUCUUUAGAAUAAAGCCUUAUAAG